rnacentral:rRNA from 1 species
UACGUAGGGUGCGAGCGUUGUCCGGAAUUAUUGGGCGUAAAGAGCUCGUAGGCGGUUUGUCGCGUCGACUGUGAAAACCCGAGGCUUAACCUCGGGCCUGCAGUCGAUACGGGCAGACUAGAGUUCGGUAGGGGAGACUGGAAUUCCUGGUGUAGCGGUGAAAUGCGCAGAUAUCAGGAGGAACACCGAUGGCGAAGGCAGGUCUCUGGGCAUUAACUGACGCUGAGGAGCGAAAGCAUGGGGAGCGAACAGG